GGUUUUCGAGACAUUGUCCUCACAUUCGCAGAUUUGGUUCGAGACAUUUGUUUUUUAGGGGUUCACAUGUUUCUGGGUGCUUUUGCAGCGAUGCGAUUCAUCUCACAGGGGAUGGGGAUUCCUACAUUACCGUGCCUUUUUUUGGGGAAAAAUGCCCACUUUUUGUGUAACAAAAACAUAAAAACGAGCCUUGCAGCUGCGAUGUCUGCUGCUCAGGUGGUUUCUCAAGAACAAAUUUUUUUAACAAAAAAAGCCUUUCUUUUUUCUUACUCUCUUGGAAAGAAGGUACAUGGAGCCAAUCCGUUAGGUCGCUAACUUCACCAAAGGAUUUCAUUUUCCGUACCUAAACCUUGUUUCAACAAAAUGCUGCCUUUGGCCGGGGGCAUCUGAUUGUCAUUUUAGUCUGUUGAUUCUUCAAGUCAAUAUUACGCUCAUUUUAUUCAAUGUUUCCCGACAGCCAACUACACUUGUAUUUCUUUGUUAGUAACGUCCCGCGCUUGAGUCCUUGUGAUCUGCACAGUAUGAUGCUGCCACCAAAUGCAUGCAGUUAGACAAGCUUAAUGUUGCAUCUGAUAAGACUGUACAACAGAUUCGUGUGCCAAAUGUGUCCUUGCUACUCAAGGAGGUCAUAUGGAACAAGUAAAACGAAAUUUCUGCAUCAGCAAUCAGGCACAAGACUGAAUGACGUGGUUAGUGCCAAUGAGGU
rnacentral:misc_RNA from 1 species